rnacentral:rRNA from 1 species
CGAGUUUACCGGGAUUUACUGGGCGUAAAGCGUGCGUAGGCGGCUUUUUAAGUCGGAUGUGAAAUCCCUGAGCUUAACUUAGGAAUUGCAUUCGAUACUGGGAAGCUAGAGUAUGGGAGAGGAUGGUAGAAUUCCAGGUGUAGCGGUGAAAUGCGUAGAGAUCUGGAGGAAUACCGAUGGCGAAGGCAGCCAUCUGGCCUAAUACUGACGCUGAGGUACGAAAGCAUGGGGAGCAAACAGGAUUAGAUACCCUGGUAGUCCAUGCCGUAAACGAUGUCUACUAGCCGUUGGGGCCUUUGAGGCUUUAGUGGCGCAGCUAACGCGAUAAGUAGACCGCCUGGGGAGUACGGUCGCAAGACUAAAACUCAAAUGAAUUGACGGGGGCCCGCACAAGCGGUGGAGCAUGUGGUUUAAUUCGAUGCAACGCGAAGAACCUUACCUGGUCUUGACAUAGUAAGAACUUUCCAGAGAUGGAUUGGUGCCUUCGGGAACUUACAUACAGGUGCUGCAUGGCUGUCGUCAGCUCGUGUCGUGAGAUGUUGGGUUAAGUCCCGCAACGAGCGCAACCCUUUUCCUUAUUUGCCAGCGGGUUAAGCCGGGAACUUUAAGGAUACUGCCAGUGACAAACUGGAGGAAGGCGGGGACGACGUCAAGUCAUCAUGGCCCUUACGACCAGGGCUACACACGUGCUACAAUGGUCGGUACAAAGGGUUGCUACCUAGCGAUAGGAUGCUAAUCUCAAAAAGCCGAUCGUAGUCCGGAUUGGAGUCUGCAACUCGACUCCAUGAAGUCGGAAACGGCUAGUAAUCGCGGGAUCAGAAUGCCGCGGUGAAUACGGUUCCCCGGGCCUUGUACACACCGCCCGUCACACAUGGGGAAUUUGUUGCACAGAAGUAGGUAGUCUACCGCAGGGAGACGCUUAACACGGUGUGGGCCGAUGACUGAGGUGAAUCGUACGAGGUAACGGAUA